rnacentral:rRNA from 1 species
GGUUAAGCGACUAAGCGUACACGGUGGAUGCCCUGGCAGUCAGAGGCGAUGAAGGACGUGCUAAUCUGCGAUAAGCGUCGGUAAGGUGAUAUGAACCGUUAUAACCGGCGAUUUCCGAAUGGGGAAACCCAGUGUGAUUCGUCACACUAUCAUUAACUGAAUCCAUAGGUUAAUGAGGCGAACCGGGGGAACUGAAACAUCUAAGUACCCCGAGGAAAAGAAAUCAACCGAGAUUCCCCCAGUAGCGGCGAGCGAACGGGGAGCAGCCCAGAGCCUGAAUCAGUGUGUGUGUUAGUGGAAGCGUCUGGAAAGGCGCGCGAUACAGGGUGACAGCCCCGUACACAAAAAUGCACAUGCUGUGAGCUCGAUGAGUAGGGCGGGACACGUGGUAUCCUGUCUGAAUAUGGGGGGACCAUCCUCCAAGGCUAAAUACUCCUGACUGACCGAUAGUGAACCAGUACCGUGAGGGAAAGGCGAAAAGAACCCCGGCGAGGGGAGUGAAAAAGAACCUGAAACCGUGUACGUACAAGCAGUGGGAGCACAGAGCAAUCUGUGUGACUGCGUACCUUUUGUAUAAUGGGUCAGCGACUUAUAUUCUGUAGCAAGGUUAACCGAAUAGGGGAGCCGAAGGGAAACCGAGUCUUAACUGGGCGUUAAGUUGCAGGGUAUAGACCCGAAACCCGGUGAUCUAGCCAUGGGCAGGUUGAAGGUUGGGUAACACUAACUGGAGGACCGAACCGACUAAUGUUGAAAAAUUAGCGGAUGACUUGUGGCUGGGGGUGAAAGGCCAAUCAAACCGGGAGAUAGCUGGUUCUCCCCGAAAGCUAUUUAGGUAGCGCCUCGUGAAUUCAUCUCCGGGGGUAGAGCACUGUUUCGGCAAGGGGGUCAUCCCGACUUACCAACCCGAUGCAAACUGCGAAUACCGGAGAAUGUUAUCACGGGAGACACACGGCGGGUGCUAACGUCCGUCGUGAAGAGGGAAACAACCCAGACCGCCAGCUAAGGUCCCAAAGUCAUGGUUAAGUGGGAAACGAUGUGGGAAGGCCCAGACAGCCAGGAUGUUGGCUUAGAAGCAGCCAUCAUUUAAAGAAAGCGUAAUAGCUCACUGGUCGAGUCGGCCUGCGCGGAAGAUGUAACGGGGCUAAACCAUGCACCGAAGCUGCGGCAGCGACGCUUAUGCGUUGUUGGGUAGGGGAGCGUUCUGUAAGCCUGUGAAGGUGUACUGUGAGGUAUGCUGGAGGUAUCAGAAGUGCGAAUGCUGACAUAAGUAACGAUAAAGCGGGUGAAAAGCCCGCUCGCCGGAAGACCAAGGGUUCCUGUCCAACGUUAAUCGGGGCAGGGUGAGUCGACCCCUAAGGCGAGGCCGAAAGGCGUAGUCGAUGGGAAACAGGUUAAUAUUCCUGUACUUGGUGUUACUGCGAAGGGGGGACGGAGAAGGCUAUGUUGGCCGGGCGACGGUUGUCCCGGUUUAAGCGUGUAGGCUGGUUUUCCAGGCAAAUCCGGAAAAUCAAGGCUGAGGCGUGAUGACGAGGCACUACGGUGCUGAAGCAACAAAUGCCCUGCUUCCAGGAAAAGCCUCUAAGCAUCAGGUAACAUCAAAUCGUACCCCAAACCGACACAGGUGGUCAGGUAGAGAAUACCAAGGCGCUUGAGAGAACUCGGGUGAAGGAACUAGGCAAAAUGGUGCCGUAACUUCGGGAGAAGGCACGCUGAUAUGUAGGUGAAGUGAUUUACUCAUGGAGCUGAAAUCAGUCGAAGAUACCAGCUGGCUGCAACUGUUUAUUAAAAACACAGCACUGUGCAAACACGAAAGUGGACGUAUACGGUGUGACGCCUGCCCGGUGCCGGAAGGUUAAUUGAUGGGGUCAGCGCAAGCGAAGCUCUUGAUCGAAGCCCCGGUAAACGGCGGCCGUAACUAUAACGGUCCUAAGGUAGCGAAAUUCCUUGUCGGGUAAGUUCCGACCUGCACGAAUGGCGUAAUGAUGGCCAGGCUGUCUCCACCCGAGACUCAGUGAAAUUGAACUCGCUGUGAAGAUGCAGUGUACCCGCGGCAAGACGGAAAGACCCCGUGAACCUUUACUAUAGCUUGACACUGAACAUUGAGCCUUGAUGUGUAGGAUAGGUGGGAGGCUUUGAAGUGUGGACGCCAGUCUGCAUGGAGCCGACCUUGAAAUACCACCCUUUAAUGUUUGAUGUUCUAACGUGGACCCGUAAUCCGGGUUGCGGACAGUGUCUGGUGGGUAGUUUGACUGGGGCGGUCUCCUCCUAAAGAGUAACGGAGGAGCACGAAGGUUGGCUAAUCCUGGUCGGACAUCAGGAGGUUAGUGCAAUGGCAUAAGCCAGCUUGACUGCGAGCGUGACGGCGCGAGCAGGUGCGAAAGCAGGUCAUAGUGAUCCGGUGGUUCUGAAUGGAAGGGCCAUCGCUCAACGGAUAAAAGGUACUCCGGGGAUAACAGGCUGAUACCGCCCAAGAGUUCAUAUCGACGGCGGUGUUUGGCACCUCGAUGUCGGCUCAUCACAUCCUGGGGCUGAAGUAGGUCCCAAGGGUAUGGCUGUUCGCCAUUUAAAGUGGUACGCGAGCUGGGUUUAGAACGUCGUGAGACAGUUCGGUCCCUAUCUGCCGUGGGCGCUGGAGAACUGAGGGGGGCUGCUCCUAGUACGAGAGGACCGGAGUGGACGCAUCACUGGUGUUCGGGUUGUCAUGCCAAUGGCACUGCCCGGUAGCUAAAUGCGGAAGAGAUAAGUGCUGAAAGCAUCUAAGCACGAAACUUGCCCCGAGAUGAGUUCUCCCUGAC